rnacentral:sRNA from 1 species
AAUAUUUGAAGUUUUGGAUUUGGAUGUAAAAACAAAAUUAGGUGGAAUUGUUGUUCCUGUGAUCGGAAGUCCCUAUUAAGGACCGGGGAUAUUUGCUCCAUAUAUAUCUUGCUUUCUGCGUCAUUUGUGGGCCAAUCUGCGCCUUCCAAAGGUUCCUGCAAUUGGAAAAGUGUCCCUGAUCUUUUGGUUUUUUUCAAGGUCUGCCAUGAUAUGGUGAUUACGAAGUGAUUCCAGCUCAAAAUAUAAAUGCUUUUUGAUGAUUUCGCACGUUCUGGGCCAUACAUUUGAUUUGCUUUCACACCGUGGCCUAAAAAGAGGCUUCGACUUCGACUUCGGCUUCCUGUUCAACAAGUAAAAGGCCUGCCCAGGUGUGAUAUAUCGUUUAUAUAAAUCUUCAUAUGGAGAUAUAUCUAAUACUGAUUCUAUCGAAAGAAUUGUUGGUUAUCUAGUAGAUACGGAUUGGAAUGAUGAUUUGGAAGCGCCUUUUGACCCCCUUCAAUCACGCCUCACGCUGCCAUCUCUAGCGUUGAACUACAUCUUCCAAUUUCGGAGUAUUCAUUUACUUGAGUUUCACUUUGAAAUGCAAACCAGAGGCAAAACGUGGCGCACAACGCAUCCAUAUCCGCUAAUUACGCAGCCACCAGCGGCCUGGCCUGGCCUGGCCCCUGCCCAUACCCCAGACCUCAGACCCCAUGGAAAGUGUAAACAAAUUUUGGUAACGGAACGAACACAAUUUUCCUAAACAGAAACUUAAGCAGCGGCAACGCAACCCUUUUUUCCGAGUAGUGUGCGUGUGAUUCUACCCCCGCGGAAAAGUUUUCCGCUGAAGCGAUGGACAAGCUCUCGGAAGAGAGGGAGAGAGAGAGCUUUACACACAGAUCAAAGUGCUGGUUUUUUUUCUCUUCGGGUCUUUGACGGAACCAAUAAACAUGUUCGGCACUUUAUUUACAUUGGCUUCCGGUUGAAUUCAGUAUUUUUUCCCCCC